rnacentral:lncRNA from 1 species
CCGGGACAGCCCCGGAGGCAGCAGCGGCCCCGCAGCCGCCCUCUGGCAAGCUCGGCUGGGGACCCCGGGCUCCAGCGCCAAGGGACCCUACAGGCAGGAAGGUAAGGGGCCUCGCCGCUUGGGGGGAGCAGGCAGCCAAGCCCACACAUGUCCCAAGGCUUCGGCAAGAUUUGGGACCCUUCUGCCCGCCCCUCUUCGCAGCAAUGGGGAUAGGGGUGCUGUGCCUUUGCCUGUUGCUUCUUUCCCUGCUCGCAUCCCUGGAUCUGCCAUGGGACGCCAGGCUGCACUGCUUGGGCACGCCGGGGUGCCCCACAAGGUACCCAUGCUGAGGGUUCCCCCAGUGCUUCGCCCGCUUCUUCAUCCCUGCUCUGGGACGUGCCCAGUUCUGUGCUGUGGGGACUUCACCCCGCUGCUGCAAGUGCCCCUUCCCUGUGGGCUGGAUCCUGCCAAAGCUCAGCCCCGCAGAGCCCUCACAGAGGCAGCAAGGAUCUGGUGGUACAGGAGGGUCAGGAUGCACCCAGCACCGGCUGCUUGGGGGGAGCUGCAAGCAAAAGCACCUCAAACACCCACGGGUCCCAUGGGCUGUGCCAGGCACUGCCCUUAUCCCACCCUGUCACCCCAAAGGCACUUCUGUUGCUGGUUUUGCACCCACAUUAGUGUCACGGGCACCCCGGGCACCUCAAGCUCCCAUUCUGGUUGCAGAGAUACAGCCUAUCCACACAGGAAGAGCUGUGCUCUCCUGCAUGCCCAGUGCCCUGCUGGGCACCCCAGGGUGCCCCCAGCUUCCCGGAGCACAUCCUGGAGCUUCCACCUUUGUACGCCCCCCAUCAGGUUUGCUCUAGGCUGUAUGCAAAGCAAAACACCCCAUGCAGCUUGUAGGGGCUUCCCGGUGGUGACAAGGUUGGGCUGGGGGCAGCUGGGGGCUGGGAAGCUGACGGGAACCACCAAGCAUCCCCCAAAUAUCCUGCUACGGCCAAGAGGGCAAGCGGAAAGUCCCCAGAGCCACAGAGGAAGGACGUCCCUGUCCCUGCCCUCCACCACCAGAUGCAUCAGGGCUGCUCUUUGGCUGGUUGUAGCAAACUCCUCAGAGCAAAGCCAGGGCUCUUCACCACCUCCUUCCUCUGGUUUUGGCUGCUCACUGAUUUUGGGAAACUCACUGCUGGGUGAUUUAGGACCAGGUGAGCAUCAGAAGGGUGGCACAGAGCUGAGAGCUGAUGGUGAGUCCCCUCUGGAUCAGGCUGGGUGCUGGGUGCUGCUGGGUGCUCAGCUGGUGGAAGUGAGGUCUCCCAUGAGGUUUUGA